UACGGGGGGGGCAAGCGUUGUUCGGAAUUACUGGGCGUAAAGGGCUGGUAGGCGGCCAACUAAGUCGGAUGUGAAAUCCCCAGGCUUAACCUGGGAACUGCAUCCGAUACUGGUCGGCUUGAAUCCGGGAGAGGGAUGCAGAAUUCCAGGUGUAGCGGUGAAAUGCGUAGAUAUCUGGAGGAACACCGGUGGCGAAGGCGGCAUCCUGGACCGGUAUUGACACUGAGGAGCGAAAGCCAGGGGAGCAAACGGG
rnacentral:rRNA from 1 species